GCGAUCGGUGGAUGCCUUGGCACCAAGAGCCGAUGAAGGACGUUGUGACCUGCGAUAAGCCCUGGGGAGUUGGUGAGCGAGCUGUGAUCCGGGGGUGUCCGAAUGGGGAAACCUGGAAUGUCCGGAGUAGUGUCCGGUGGCCCUGCCCUGAAUGUAUAGGGGUGUGGGUGGUAACGCGGGGAAGUGAAACAUCUUAGUACCCGUAGGAGGAGAAAAUAAUAUUAUGAUUCUGCUAGUAGUGGCGAACGAACGUGGAUGAGGCUAAACCGUAUGCAUGUGAUACUUGGUAGGGGUUGUGUGUGC
rnacentral:rRNA from 1 species